GAUGAAGAACGUAGCGAAAUGCGAUAAGUAAUGUGAAUUGCAGAAUUCAGUGAAUCAUCGAAUCUUUGAACGCACAUUGCGCCCGCCAGUAUUCUGGCGGGCAUGCCUGUUCGAGCGUCAUUACAACCCUCAGGCCCCCGGGCCUGGCGUUGGGGAUCGGCGGAGCCCCCCGUGGGCACACGCCGUCCCCCAAAUACAGUGGCGGUCCCGCCGCAGCUUCCAUCGCGUAGUAGCUAACACCUCGCGACUGGAGAGCGGCGCGGCCACGCCGUAAAACACCCAACUCUUCUGAAGUUGACCUCGAAUCAGGUAGGAAUACCCGCUGAACUUAAGCAUAUCAAUAAGCGGGA
rnacentral:misc_RNA from 1 species